rnacentral:rRNA from 1 species
AUUGAGAGUUUGAUCCUAGCUCAGGACGAACGCUGGCGGCGUGGAUAAGGCAUGCAAGUCGAGUGGGUUUAGACCCACGGCAAACGGGGUAGUAACACGUGGGUACGUACCUCGGAGUCGGGCAUAAUUAGCCGAAAGGUUGAAUAAUUCCCGAUAGUCUCGCAAGAGUAAAGUCGUAAGAUGCUCCGAGAAUGGCCUGCGGGCUAUCAGCUAGUUGGUAAGGUAACGGCUUACCAAGGCGAUGACGGCUAGGGGGGGUGAGAGCCCGAUCCCCACCAAUGGUACUGCGACACGGACCAUACACCUACGGGUGGCAGCAGCCGAGAAUA